rnacentral:rRNA from 1 species
GACGAACGCUGGCGGCGUGCUUAACACAUGCAAGUCGAACGGAAAGGCCCUGCUUUUGUGGGGUGCUCGAGUGGCGAACGGGUGAGUAACACGUGAGUAACCUGCCCUUGACUUUGGGAUAACUUCAGGAAACUGGGGCUAAUACCGGAUAGGAGCUCCUGCUGCAUGGUGGGGGUUGGAAAGUUUCGGCGGUUGGGGAUGAACUCGCGGCUUAUCAGCUUGUUGGUGGGGUAGUGGCUUACCAAGGCUUUGACGGGUAGCCGGCCUGAGAGGGUGACCGGCCACAUUGGGACUGAGAUACGGCCCAGACUCCUACUGGAGGCAGCAGUGGGGAAUAUUGCACAAUGGGUGGAAGCCUGAUGCAGCAACGCCGUGUGCGGGAUGACGGCCUUCGGGUUGUAAACCGCUUUCGCUCAUGACGAAGCUUUGUGUGACGGUAGUGGGUAAAGAAGCACCGGCUAACUACGUG